rnacentral:rRNA from 1 species
UACGUAGGCAGCGAGCGUUGUUCGGAGUUACUGGGCGUAAGGGUGUGUAGGCGGUUGUUUAAGUUUGGUGUGAAAUCUCCCCGGCUCAACUGGGAGGGUGCGCCGAAUACUGAAUGACUUCGAGUGCGGGAGAGGAGAGUGGAAUUCCUGGUGUAGCGGUGAAAUGCGUAGAUAUCAGGAGGAACACCGGUGGUGUAGACGGCUCUCUGGACCGUAACUGACGCUGAGACACGAAAGCGUGGGUAGCAAACAGG